rnacentral:lncRNA from 1 species
AAAAAUUAAUGGGACAAUGAAAUGGGACGAACCAAUGCUUAUGCUCUUAGACAAUGGGCAUUGGUGAUCCUCCACCUAGUCCCCCCAAAAAAAGAAAAAAUAGAAAAGAAAAAAGAAAAAAAAUCCACGGGACGUACGUUAUAUAGGUACGUCCUUCUUCUUCUUUUUCACUAUUCGCAGGCCCACUGACAUGUUGCGGCCCGCAAUUAGUUACCUCAUACUUGUUUUUUUUUUUAAAAAAAAAAAAUUUCCUCAGACAAAAAAUUGUCCUACCGCUGCACAUGCCCUUAAGAGCAACUGCAUUGGCGUUAAUAAGCAAAGUCCCAUUCAUUUUUUUGGUUAAAUUAAAUCAUUAAUACGUUUAAUGUGAGUACGUUUCUG